AAAAGAGUAAUAUUCAUGUUAAAAAGGAAAGGGGGAAAAUAAAAGAAUAAGAAAAGAAAAGAAAGGAAACUUACGUUGAUAACGUUACUUCCAUCUUCAUCCUCUUCACAUCUUCAUCCUCUCCAUCAAACUCUCACAAUCUUCAUCACACAAAGAACACUACCACCUUCAACCUCUCUAUCUUUCCGGCGCCUCAACUACAACACAACAAUCUCUAUCUAGCGGCAAGCGGCAUCAUGAGAAAUAGGUUCAACAAAAAACAAGUCGGAUUUCGGUGCGUUUGAGAUUUGGGGUGCGUUUUAACGGUCGAUUUCACAAGUUUUCUUCACCAGUAAUCUUCCAUAGUAGUGGAUUCCGGUUUCAUUGAGGAGCCGUAUUGACUGCUUGACAUAGUUGAUUUGCUGUAUUUCAAAAGGUACAUGAAGAUUUGCAAGUGGGGUGUGGGCUGAGAGCAACGUUCCACUAACUUAGUUGAAAUAUAGUAGUUCUAAUUCCGCUGCACUAUAUAUACAUAUAUAUCAUCAUUUUGGAACUUAAGGUUGUAAAUAUUAAUUUACUUAAACCUUUACACGUUUGGAUUGUAAUACUUUAAUUUAGUUGUUGCUUUAACAUUAAUUUAGUUAGGUAGUUAUCCUUAACGGUUGUUCCUGCAAUAACCGUGGAAUAACACUUUUGGAUUUCGGGUACU